UACGUAGGGUGCAAGCGUUAAUCGGAAUUACUGGGCGUAAAGCGUGCGCAGGCGGUUUUGUAAGACAGAGGUGAAAUCCCCCGGGCUCAACCUGGGAACUGCCUUUGUGACUGCAAGGCUUGAGUGCGGCAGAGGGGGAUGGAAUUCCGCGUGUAGCAGUGAAAUGCGUAGAUAUGCGGAGGAACACCGAUGGCGAAGGCAAUCCCCUGGGCCUGCACUGACGCUCAUGCACGAAAGCGUGGGGAGCAAACAGG
rnacentral:rRNA from 1 species